UAACUUUUAUGACUUUGUUGACAUCAUUGCUAUUUUAAAGUCAUUGUAUAGAAUGCUGUAAAUCUUAAACUUAAUAUAUAAUAAGUCCUAAAAAAGACUUUUGAGUUGGUGAAGGAGUUAAUCCUUUCUUGAGUAAUUGAGUAAUAGCUUUAGUGUGGUCUGAUACUAUUUUGUCAGUUCAGCCAUCUAUUUCAUAUUGUUCUUACACAGACACAGCACGUUUGUUUCCCUGUUUUGCACCUUUUACAGCCUUUACCACUGUGUAUGUUCAUAAACACCAAAGGAGAGCAAAGGUGCAGAAUGUUACCAUAAGAUGCAGCUGCUACUCAUAGGGCCGAAAAGCAAAGCACAAAUAAUAAAUAGUUAAGAACUACUAAAUAGUGUAUAGAGUAGGGAAAAUAACACUGCUUUUUAUUAUAUUCAUGUCUUUCAAGCCUUUUUCAGAAUACGUGCCAGUCACUGAAGUUGUAAAUAAUGGUGCCUUAACUUCAUAUGCUUCUCUGGUACUUCAUUCUGAGUUUUUUCCUGACUUCAUAAAUAGUUCAGUAGUUUCCACUCACUUUUUACUAAAAUAAGAAGUAAUGUACACUUACUAAUGUUUUUCCCACAGAUAGAUAAUUUUCUAUACUUCAGAUGUAUAACUUAUUUAAACAUCAGCCAUUUGAUACAUGUUUUUAUUGCCCAGUAACUGAAUGAGAUUCAUCAAUAUAACUGUACACUAAAUUCCAUCAUUCCAUUAUAAUCCUACUUUUAUUCCCAGGAGUGUGAACUGAAAUUUGGUAAUUUCACCCCCAUGUAUCUAUACUCCACUGUCUCAUUAAACAAGAGAAAAUGUGUGCACCCAAGUGUCCAUUCCUGUUCUGUAGAAGAACUCCACAAGUAGGGCAGACUCUUCACAAGAGGCCCAGGACAAGAGAUCCAGGGUCCACGCUAAAUUUUAACGUAUACCUUUAUGGCACAGUUUGUCUGGUUUACUCAAAAUAUGUGAAUAUUUUACAUUCACAUGAAUUACUUUCCUUAAUACAAUAUUUAGAGUCAUUAGGGACAUGAUUGAAAUCAUUCUCUAGUAACCAUUAAGAAUAGGUUCAUUUUUAUUAGUUAUUCAUUCAACUUCACACAUAAAUUGUUUAGUUUGGAUAAAAAGGU
rnacentral:lncRNA from 1 species